rnacentral:sRNA from 1 species
UUAGAUAUUGCAAGCGUCCCUUCUGGAGUGGUUAUGGCAACUUCUACUCCCUGCAGAAGUCUGGAUUUUUGCCAACCCUUGGCACUGUCCAACCUUUUAAUUAUUGCAAAUCUGGCUGGAUCCUCAUUGACCGCUGUGGGAAGCACUUUGGUACGAUACUCAACUACCUUCGAGACGGGGCGGUGCCUUUACCCGAGAGCCGCCGGGAGAUCGAGGAGCUGCUAGCAGAAGCCAAGUACUACCUGGUCCAAGGCCUAGUGGAAGAGUGCCAGGCGGCCCUACAAAACAAAGAUACUUAUGAGCCUUUCUGCAAGGUCCCUGUGAUCACCUCAUCCAAGGAAGAACAAAAACUUAUAGCGACUUCAAAUAAGCCAGCCGUGAAGUUGCUCUACAACAGAAGUAACAACAAAUACUCAUAUACCAGCAAUUCUGACGACAAUAUGUUGAAAAACAUUGAACUGUUUGAUAAGCUGUCUCUGCGCUUUAACGGAAGGGUCCUGUUCAUAAAGGAUGUCAUUGGGGAUGAAAUCUGCUGCUGGUCCUUUUAUGGUCAGGGCCGGAAGAUUGCUGAAGUCUGUUGUACCUCCAUCGUCUACGCCACUGAGAAGAAACAGACCAAGGUGGAGUUUCCUGAAGCCCGGAUUUAUGAGGAGACCCUGAACAUUUUGCUGUAUGAGGCCCAGGAUGGCCGGGGACCUGACAAUGCGCUCCUGGAGGCCACAGGCGGGGCGGCAGGGCGCUCUCACCACCUGGAUGAGGACGAGGAGCGGGAGCGGGAGCGGAUCGAGCGCGUGCGGCGGAUCCACAUCAAGCGCCCCGACGACCGGGCCCACCUCCACCAGUGAGCAGGCAAGAGACCGAGCCGCCCUCCUCUCACCGCCCCCACUCCCUGCCGUGCUACACCCAGAUCCUGUGCAGGCUGCCGGGCCCCUUCUGCUUCCCUUGGAGCCUGGAGAUACUUUUGUAACAAGCCAGAUGAUUAUUUUGGUAUUGCUUGACAAGGCAAAUUGAUUGUCUUGACCCAGGCGUAUGACCC